rnacentral:rRNA from 1 species
AAUCAACGCUGGCGGCGUGCCUCAGACAUGCAAGUCGAACGCGAAAGUCCCCUUCGGGGGGUGAGUAGAGUGGCGCACGGGUGAGUAACACGUAGGUAAUCUACCUUCGGGUGGGGAAUAACAACCGGAAACGGUUGCUAACACCGCAUAAUGCAGCGGCACCUAAUGGUGACAGUUGUUAAAGCGGGGGAUCGAAAGACCUCGCGCCUGAAGAGGAGCCUGCGGCGGAUUAGCUAGUUGGUAGGGGACGGCUUACCAAGGCGACGAUCCGUAGCCGGCCUGAGAGGGCGGUCGGCCACACUGACACUGACAUACGGGUCAGACUCCUACGGGAGGCAGCAGUCGGGAAUUUUGGGCAAUGGGCGCAAGCCUGACCCAGCAACGCCGCGUGAAGGAUGAAAUCCCUCGGGAUGUAAACUUCGCAAGAACGGGAAGAAUAAGCCGGUAUCAAUACUACCGGUGAUGACGGUACCGUUUGUAAGCUCCGGCUAACUCCGUGCC